rnacentral:rRNA from 1 species
UACGUAUGGUGCAAGCGUUAUCCGGAAUUACUGGGCGUAAAGGGCUCGUAGGCGGCCAACUAAGUCAGACGUGAAAUCCCUCGGCUUAACCGGGGAACUGCAUCUGAUACUGGAUGGCUUGAGUUCGGGAGAGGGAUGCGGAAUUCCAGGUGUAGCGGUGAAAUGCGUAGAUAUCAGGAGGAACACCUGUGGUGUAGACGGCUUUCUGGACCAUAGCUGACGCUGAGACACGAAAAGCGUGGGUAGCAAACAGG